ensembl:lncRNA
AUGCCUACUGGGGCCCUUGUGUCCAGUCCCAGCUAUGUCCCUGAUAUAUCACCUUGUUCAUCACACCAAUUCCUUGGUGCCACUGAGCAGGCCAGGUGCUUUCCUGAAAUGGGACCUCCACCAGGGACAUUGUCUCCCCAAAUACCUGCACGGCCACCUCUUUUACCUCCUUCAAGUAUUAGCUCAAAUGUCACCCUCUCAGUGAGCCCACCUUGGCCACCCUAUUUAUUUUUAAUUAAAAUAAAAAAUAAGAAAGUUAGCAGGGUAUGGUGGCACAUGCCUGUGGUCUCAGCUACUUGGGAGACUGAGGUAAGAGGAUUGUUUGAGACUGGGAGGUCAAGGCUGCAAUGGGCUGUGAUCAUGCCAUUGUACUCCAGCCUGCACAACAGAGCAAGACCUUGUCUCUAAAGAAAUAAAUAAAUCAAAAUCUACAGCUUACAUUAUAUGUAAUAAUGAAAUCUUCAAAGUUUCACCUUACCGUGGAGAACAAGGCAAGGAUGUACAAUUUUACCACUUUGAUUCAACACUGUACUGGACAUCACUACCCACUGGAACAAUAAGGUUAAAAAAAGAAAUAAUAGGCAUGGUGACUCACACCUGUAAUCCUAGCACUUUGGGAGGCCAAGGCAUGUGGACUGCUUGAGCUCAGGAGUUCAAGACCAGCCUGGGCAAUAUGGCAAAACCCCAUCUCUACUAAAAAUACAAAAAUUAGCCAGGGGCAUGGUGGCAUGCAUCUGUAAUUCCAGCAACUUGGGAGGCUGAGCCAUGAUAAAGAUCAUUUAAUGGGGAAAUGACAGUUCUUACAACAAAUGGUGCCAGAAAAAUUGAAUAUUCACAUGCAAACAAAUGAAGUUAGACCCUUACCUUACACCAUAUACAAAAAUUAACUCAAAAUGGAUCAAAGACCUAAACAUAUGAGCUAAAACUGUACAACUCUUACAAGAAAGCAGCGAAAAUAUAGUUGUGACAUUGGAUUUGGCAAUGACUUUUGGAUAUGUCACCAAAAGCACAGACAACAAAAUUAAAAAAUUGAUAAAUUGGACUUCAACAAAAUUUUAAAAGUUUGGUGCACCAAAAGACACUAUCCAAAAAAUGAAACAAUAACUUUCAAAAUGGGAAAAAAUAUUUUCAAAUCAUAUAUUUAAUAAAAGUCUAGUAUUCAGAAUAUCUAAAGAAGUUUACAAUUUAACAACAAAAGGACAACUUAAUUUUAAAAUGACCAAAGAACUUGAACAGCGAUUUCUCCUACAAAGAUAUACAAAUAGCCUAUAAGCACAUGAAAAAUGCUCAACAUCAUUACUCAAUAGAGAAAUGCAGUCAAGCAACAAUGAGAUACUACUUUACACCCACAAGGAUGGCUAUAAUGAAAACAAAACCAAAAUAAACAUGUGUCGGUGGGUGUCUGGAAAAAUUGGAACCCUCAUCCAUUGCUAGUGGGAAUGUAAAUUGAUGCAGCUCUGUGGAAAACAUUUUGGUGGUUCCCGUAAAAGUUAAACAUAGAAUUAUCAUAUGACACAGCAAUUUCACUCCUCGAUAUAUACUCAAAAGAACUAAAAACAGGUAUUCAAACAAAAACUUGUACAUGAGUGUUUAUAGCAGCACAAUUUAUAAUAGCCAAAAAGUGGGAGAAACUCAAGUGUCAUUGAUGGACAAAUGGAUGAACAAAAUAUGGUUUACCCAUAUAAUGGAAUAUUAUUCAACCAUAAAAGGGAAUGAAAUUCUAAUAUAUGCCAUAAUGAGGAUAAACUUUGAAAACAUUAUUCUAAGUGAAAGAAGCCAGACACAAAAGGUCACAUAUUAUAUCAUUCCAUUUUUAUGAUUCUUCUUCUUUUCUUUUUUUUUGAGACGGAGUUUCUCUCUUUUCACCCAGGCUGGAGUGCAAUGGUGUGAUCUCGGCUUACCGCAACCUCUGCCUCCUGGGUUCAGGCAAUUCUCCUGCCUCAGCCUCCUGAGUAGCUGGGAUUACAGGCACGCGCCACCAUGCCCAGCUAAUUUUUUGUAUUUUUAGUAGAGACGGGGUUUCACCAUGUUGACCAGGAUCGUCUCGAUCUGUUGACCUCGUGAUCCACCCGCCUUGGCCUCCCAAAGUGCUGGGAUUACAGGCUUGAGCCACCGCACCCGGCCGUUUAUGAUUCUUCUUAUAUAAAAUCAGUAAAAUAGGUAAGUUCAUCGUGACAGAAAA